CAAUGUCCGUGUAAAAAUAGCCAGGCCCUUCUUACCCCACACUGCUCAGCGGCUCUGUCCGAAGCCUGUCUGCUGCCCCGUUGACUCUGCUGGAGCUGCUUCCACCCACCUCCGGCACUGAUGGGGGCAGCUCGGCCUGCUGUCCUCAGGCUCCCUCGACACCUGGGGAAGGGAGUUCACUGGCCCUAGAUCUUGUGUUGAGUGCAGAGCACGUGGCCGCGCCUAGGCCCCUCAGCAGACAACUUUCAACUCUGAGUUGCCUCCAGCCCACAGGCCCUUGCUCUGACCUGCGCCCCGACUGACCCCUGGUGGACUUGGGUGAUCCCUCAGAGCCCACGGCAUGAGGGUGCCUUGGGAGAAUCAGGUAGGCCUAAAGGUCGGUCUCAGCAGAGACGCCCAGGAAAGCAAGUCCAAAGGCAGGCGCUCCAAGGCUAAUGCGGCAGCUCCGGGAAGGUUUUAGGUGCCUCAUCCUCGAGGACCAAAGCAGCUAACGGAGGGUAGGCCCUCUUACCUGCACUGCGGGCAGCAGAUGGAAGAGUGAUGGAGGAGAGCAUCUCUCACUGUAUGAGUUCACUAGUGCUGCUGUAACCAAGUACCACAAACUGAGUGACUUACACCACAGGAAAAUGAGAUGCUGAGAUUAAGGGAUUUGCCCCAAAUCGUGGAGCUGUAAGUGGUUAAAGCUGGAGUUUACAAAGUGUCAUUUGAUUCCUAACUCAGUGCUCUAACAGAGCACAAAGGCUGAACAUUCUGGAGAGGAGGCAGAGGUGGGAGCAAGCCCAUCUCCCACCGCGGGAGUUGGAGUUCCCUCCCGUUUGAAAACGGAGCCGCUGCCGCAGGAGGCCUAUGAUCAGCGUUUCUGUCCUCUUCCAAACCAACUGCGAGAAACUGCCUAAUUAAAGUCUGCAGCAUGCCCAGAAGCCUCUGCAGCCGCCAGUCGUUUCCUGUGCAUUCUCAGCGCCUGAUGAUAAAUAUUCUUCAUGUUUAUGUGGCACGAUGCUCUCUGCUCCAGGAGCAUGAAGUAUUAGUGAGCCAAUUUCACCAUCCACGCAGCUCCGGAGCGACCAGCAGGCAUCCCUGUUCUAAUUUAUGAGGGACCAGCAUGUGCAAUCAAUAGGUGCCCCACAGGUUAUUAAAGAAGAGAAGGAUGGCCCCUGAGGCCCUGUUUACUAACAGGGAAAUGGUCUCCUGGCAGCUUCUGGCACGUGGCCUGGGAGAGAUUUACAUUUGCUUUUCAGUCCAGAAACAGGGGCCUUCCCUUUUCGUCUCAGCCCUAAACCUGAGAACGAGGGGCUGGUGGAGGCACAGACGGAAAGUACCCUUCUCUAUGCUGGAAUCCCAGAGGGUCCGUGGGGAGCCAGGGGUCUGCGGUUCCUCAGGGGUCUGGGAGUAGACACCAGCCCAAAGCUUUCAUUAGGCCAUUUAUGUUUUGAGGCCCCAGAAAACAAUAGUGUGCCAGGAUCUGGGCUGAGACAUAAGAGGUGGGAGCGGGUGGAUGGUGUGCUGCCAGACCAAUGAAGCAAAAAGAAAUAGGCGACUCCUAC